rnacentral:rRNA from 1 species
UACGGAAGGCAGCAGUGGGGAAUAUUGCACAAUGGGCGAAAGCCUGAUGCAGCUAUGCCGCGUGUAUGAAGAAGGCCUUAGGGUUGUAAAGUACUUUCAUCGGGGAGGAAAAAACAAAACUAAUAAUUUUAUUUCUUGACGUUACCCGAAAAAGAAGCACCGGCUAACUCCGUGCCAGCAGCCGCGGUAAUACGGAGGGUGCUAGCGUUAAUCAGAAUUACUGGGCGUAAAGAGCACGUAGGUGGUUUUUUUAAAGUCAGAUGUGAAAUCCCUGGGCUUAACCUAGGAACUGCAUUUUGAAACUGAAAUACUAGAGUAUCGUAGAGGGAGGUAGAAUUCUAGGUGUAGCGGUUGAAAUGCGUAGAUAUCUGGAGGAAUACCUGUGGCGAAAGCGGCCUCCUAAACGAAUACUGACACUGAGGUGCGAAAGCGUGGGGAGCAAACAGGGAUUAGAUACCCGU